CAGCAGCCGCGGUAAUACGGAGGAUGCAAGCGUUAUCCGGAUUCAUUGGGCGUAAAGGGUCCUGAGGUGGCCUGCUUAGUCUACUGUGAAAGCUCAGGGCUUAACCCUGACAAUGCGGUGGAAACUAGCAGGCUAGAAUACGGUAGGGGCAGGGGGAAUUCCCGGUGUAGCGGUGAAAUGCAUAGAUAUCGGGAGGAACACCAAAGGCGAAGGCACCCUGCUGGGCCGAUAUUGACACUGACAGACGAAAGCUAGGGGAGCAAGGAGGAUUAGAUACCCCUGUAGUCCCUGUCUCUUAUAC
rnacentral:rRNA from 1 species